rnacentral:misc_RNA from 1 species
GAAAUGCGAUAAGUAGUGUGAAUUGCAGAAUUCAGUGAAUCAUCGAAUCUUUGAACGCACAUUGCGCCCCUCGGUAUUCCGUGGGGCAUGCCUGUUCGAGCGUCAUCUACACCCUCAAGCUCUGCUUGGUGUUGGGCGUCUGUCCCGCCUCCGCGCGCGGACUCGCCCCAAAUGCAUUGGCAGCGGUUCCUUGCCCCCCUCUUUGUGCAGCACAUUGCCAUUCGAGGCGGCGGCGGCCCGCGUCCAACAAGCUCAACCCCCCCGUCUUUGACCUCGGAUCAGGUAGGGAUACCCGCUGAACUUAAGC